CCCCUAUUUUCCGCGCUUUUUUUAUUAUUAAUUUUUUUUUUUCGUGUAAAUUGCAGUGUUGAUAUAAAAACGCUGGUGGUCGAUAUUUUAGCCCUGUAUUCAGGGGCCCUGAGGGGAAAAUCCGCUGAAGAUUACGAAAAACACUAUCCCAUCACAUCACGCAGUGUUUAUCAUGGCUCGACCACGGCCGCGGGAGUACAAGGCGGGGGACCUGGUUUUCGCUAAGAUGAAAGGAUACCCGCACUGGCCGGCGCGGAUUGAUGAGCUUCCAGAAGGAGCUGUCAAACCGCCUGCCAACAAGUACCCAAUCUUCUUCUUUGGGACUCAUGAAACUGCAUUCUUGGGUCCAAAGGAUCUUCUGCCCUAUAAAGAGUAUAAAGACAAAUUUGGUAAAUCUAACAAGAGGAAAGGUUUCAACGAAGGCCUCUGGGAGAUCGAGAACAACCCCGGAGUCAAGUUCACCGGUUAUCGGGCGAUCCAGCAACAAAGCUCAUCAGAAACAGAGGUGGAGAGAAACACUGCUGACGGCAGCAGUGAGGGGGAGGAAGGCGACUCCAUCAAGGAGGAAGAUGACAAGGAGAAGCUGAAGGGAGACAAGACGGGAUCUAAGCGGAAAAAAACAGCCACAACUAAGGUGACCGUUUUACUACAGCAGAAAUCCUCAAAACUGCUGAGGAUUUCCGCCGCAGAGGAUGACCUGGAAAAGGAUGGGAAAGAUGACGACCAGAAGAGCAGCUCAGAGGGAGGAGACCAAGACAAUGACUUCAUUCAGAACACCACUGACAGUAAGAACCAGCUGCUCAUGGAAGAACAUUAAAUAAAAAAGAGCGAUGGGAACUCGCUCCUUGUGACAGCGGGGAAAGUGAAUCCAUGACACGGUUUCUCGUCUGCACCAUCUACUGGCUGCCAUCUUCACCUCCACCUCUGCUGGAUGUCCGCCGCGUCUGUAAGGAGGACACGUUCUCACUGAUCAAUCAUCAUGUGGAUUCUUGUAGCACUUAUCAAAGAGAUGUUUGCAGUGCUUCAGCUGAUUGAUCACAUCAAUGCCACAUUGGUGACUCAGWUCUUUUUAUGAUUUUACAAGUUUGAAGUUAUGAAUGUAACCGAAUAUAAGCSAAGCUACAAGGUUACAACCCUGUAUCCAUAACUUAUUAUAGGGGGGUUUGUUACUAUGUGAAAUCUGUGUCACAAAAUAUACAGUAUUGGUGCAUUGAUAUAGAAAAACCCUGUCACAUUUUAACCAGAUAAAAAAAAGGUUGGAGUGGCUGUUAUUCUUCCCGUGUGCAUCGUAGUCACAUACUGUAUAUAGCUACCAAACCAUAUUUAUACUGGUUGUCCAUAACUAUGUAUUAAUCAUAUUCAUCAUAUACAUUUCAUCUAUAAGUCUGUGACAAAUGUAGGGUAUUGCAGUGUACUGUUCACUCUAGUUAUAGUUUAUAAUCAUUUUUAUAAUAAGAAUAAUUAUAAAGGUUAAUGUGGAAUAUUCCAAAACUCUCAAUAUCUCUUAUGUAACCAGAAAAAAAGAUGAACGGAGAAAAAUAUAGGUAAUUAUAUGGAGUGUUGUGCACAGCUGGGUUACGCAUUGUAACUUUUAAUUAGAUCUGAAUAUUUUGCCUUUGUUGUAGAUUUUAGACCAACUAUUUUAGUUGGACCACUCUAAAUGCCAUUUUUUUAAAUGAAAAAGUAAUCUAUCUGUUCCUAUGUGUGUCUGUGAUAUAGCUCGAUGUACAUUUCAAAGCAUUUUAUAGUGGCAUGCAGUUGUACUUCAUAUUUUUUUAUGAAAGUGUUUGAUUUUUAGUAUGAYAAAUCACAUGUUUGUUUGGUAUGCUGUGGAAAAUACGACUUUCGCCUUGUACCAAUGUCAGACUAAAUAUGAAAAGUGACACCACUUCCAUUUUCUAAAGAAUCGCAGUUUGAAGAUGGGUUUCAUCUGAAACUUUGUAGACAAAAUAUGGUGCUGUGUACUUGUUUAUUUACAAAUUGCCAAACAUAUUGUUUCAAGUUUAGAGGUUUAAAUUAUUUAUUUUUUUAAUAAUGAUUGCUAUGUAUUCUUUAUGUGAACUUUUUUCCUUCCAAAUAUUGGUUUUCUUUGUAGUUGGAACAUAUUUGACAUUUACAAAGUUUGUAAUUUACUGUAAACUGUUUUCACUGUUUAAGUAAGACUUUUGCAAAAUAAACUCAUUGGAAUGCGCAA